rnacentral:rRNA from 1 species
AUUACAAAGCGAAACUGCGAAUGGCUCAUUAUAUAAGUUAUCGUUUAUUUGAUAGUACCUUACUACAUGGAUAACCGUGGUAAUUCUAGAGCUAAUACAUGCUGAAAAUCCCGACUUCGGAAGGGAUGUAUUUAUUAGAUUCAAAACCAAUGCCCUUCGGGGCUCCAAUGGUGAUUCAUGAUAACUUCUCGAAUCGCACGGCCCCGCGCCGGCGAUGGUUCAUUCAAAUUUCUUCCCUAUCAACUUUCGAUGCUACGGUAGUGUCCUAGCAUGGUUGCAACGGGUAACGGGGU